AUUGAACGCUGGCGGCAGGCCUAACACAUGCAAGUCGAACGAGUGGCGGACGGGUGAGUAAUGUCUGGGAAACUGCCUGAUGGAGGGGGAUAACUACUGGAAACGGUAGCUAAUACCGCAUACCAUCAGAUGUGCCCAGAUGGGAUUAGCUUGUGGGUGGGGUAACGGCUCACCAAGGCGACGAACCCUAGCUGGUCUGAGAGGAUGACAGGCCACACGGGAAGUGGAAAACGGUCCAGCCUCCUACGGGAGGCAGCAGUGGGGAACAGGGCACAUGGGGCGCAAGCCUGGUGCAACCAUGCGGCGUGUAUGAAGAAGGCCUUCGGGUUGGAAAGUACUUUCAGCGGGGAGACGUUACCCGCAGAAGAAGCACCGGCUAACUCCGUGCCAGCAGCCGCGGUAAUAC
rnacentral:rRNA from 1 species